CCUACGGGAGGCUGCAGUGGGGAAUAUUGGACAAUGGGGGCAACCCUGAUCCAGCCAUGUCGCGUGUGUGAAGAAGGCCCUCGGGUUGUAAAGCACUUUCAGUGAGGAAGAACGCCUGGUGGUUAAUACCCAUCAGGAAAGACAUCACUCACAGAAGAAGCACCGGCUAACUCCGUGCCAGCAGCCGCGGUAAUACGGAGGGUGCGAGCGUUAAUCGGAAUUACUGGGCGUAAAGCGCGCGUAGGUGGCUUGAUAAGCCGGUUGUGAAAGCCCCGGGCUCAACCUGGGAACGGCAUCCGGAACUGUCAAGCUAGAGUGCAGGAGAGGAAGGUAGAAUUCCCGGUGUAGCGGUGAAAUGCGUAGAGAUCGGGAGGAAUACCAGUGGCGAAGGCGGCCUUCUGGACUGACACUGACACUGAGGUGCGAAAGCGUGGGUAGCAAACAGGAUUAGAUACCCCUGUAGUC
rnacentral:rRNA from 1 species